GGCUCUGUUCUGCAGUGAGACACAGUGCAGUGCUGAGCAGAAGCCAAGGAGGAAGUGAUUAUGGCCGAGGAGUUGAUGCUGAUUGAAAACGUGCGAUGCUACAGAGGAAAUAUCACACAAUAGAACCUCAGCUCGUUUGGAACUCGAUUUCAAAAACAGGGCACAUGAAGAUGUAAACAGUCAAUAGGAGCGGGUCCCGCCUUUCUGCUAACAAUCAGCUCAUUAGUGGUAGAAACACACAGAAUGAUAUCCAUGAUUAAACCCCAAGUGCAAAGCGUGCGCUCAUCAAAUACACGGAAACUGCCUUCUUGCUUCUCACCGUGUUUCUUCUACGGCUUGUCCCACCUCAUCCUGGAUGCACAUCAGGCACAAAUGCAGCUUAAGUUAGGAGCUGGAAAUGCUUGAGGUCUUUGUAAAGGCAGCUUUAUGAUUCUUUAAGUUAAAAUUGUUAGGAUCGGAGUGCAAGCAGUCUUUGAUGUGAAAUGAAUUAAAACAGUUGAUGGAGUUAACUACUGUUAUAAAAGUAGUUAAAAAAUAACCAGAAGGGAGUCUACAGGUGCACUGGUCAGAAGAAACAGACCACGGAGAGUGUACUCCCUCUGAUAAAUGGGGAGGGAGAACUGGCUUUAACAGACACAGAGAAGUGUGUGGUACAGUGUUUUGUUGUCUUUACCAUCAGUCAGGUUUCCCAGGUUCCCGAACCUCUAGGCUGGGCUUGGGGGAGCAAAAUCUCUCCUACUGUAAGAGAAAAGCAAGUCUGAGACUGCCUCAUGAGACUGAAUGUGUACAAGUCUCUAGGGCUGGACAACAUGCCAUCCCGGGGUUCUGAAGGAAUGGGCCGACGUGGCCGCCAAGCUACUCUCCAUCAUAUUUGAAGAGUCCCUAGUGAUUGGAAAAGGGAAUCACAGAAUCAUUACUCUCAUUUUUAAGAACGGGAGAAAGGUGUAAAGGAGUACUCUGGGGUUCUGGUGGACGUGAGCCAACAAUGUGUGCUUGCAGCCCAGAAGGCCACCUGUAUACUGGGCUGCAACUGAAGAGGGGAGGCCAGUAAGGUGAGGGAUUGUUCUGCUAUACUCUGACCUCGUGUGGCCGCAUUUGGAGUAGCUUCCAGGGCGCAGUGGCUGGAAUUGCUGAAAGUUGCCAGAGAAAGACCCCAAGGGCUUCGGCCGCUGAUGAAUCUCAUGGCUUCUCCUUCCAACGAGUGUCCUCCAAGUACAGUGGACUCUGCUGCAGGUAUUCUUCCACCUGGCUCCUGUCUUGUACCAGCUGGAGAGAGCACAAAGGGCCAUCAGAGGCCGUCUCAUGAAGGGAUGGCCAACCUUCUGCAGAAAAGGCCCCAGAGAUCCCCACAAACAUGGCCAGGUUUACAACAAAGACUUUAUCCUUGGCUUCCUAUUAAUGAAUCAUCACUGAAAACUAGAAAGUGGUUCAGCACACCCGUUAAAAUCACACCUCUCCACACUUGCUUCAAGCAUACACCCCUUAGUUUCUAUGACAACAAACCUUAUGACAUCAAAGAUCAUACUAGUAGCUGGUUGCCCCACUGUAGCUGCUCCCAACUCCCGUUAUGCUAGGUGCCAACACUGAGUUUCUGUGCUGCUAGGCAAGAAUCUUCCCCUCUUACUGACAACCAACAGCACAGAAACAUAUUAG
ensembl:lncRNA